AAAGAAUGGCUGACAGGAUUCUAGGCCAGCUUCCCCAUCAUCCCAUCCGGCAACCCCCGCGUCCACCUGGGUCUCCUCCACUGAGUGCACCAGCCACACAUCCUGCAGGUCCUCCACGGCACCAUCCAGCCAGUUGUUGAAGGGUGCCGCCCGCCGGGCAAACUCCAGCUGCAGCUGGUCAAUGGUCUCCAGGAGCUUCUCCAUCCGCUAGGAGCCAUGGGGAUGGCGAGUCAGCAGCCUGCCCACAGGCCCCUCACCAGCCUCCGGUCUCCAGCCCCCAGUUCUCCGGCCCCCAAGCCCACCUCCAGCGCGUCCCUCCUCUUCUGGGUCAGUGUGCCCAGGUUGUCCCACUGGUCACAGAUGGCCUGGCAACGGCUGUUCACCGAGGCCGCAUCAUGGUAGUCCAGCUCACUGGGGGCGAGAAAAGGGAUGAUCGUGGGGUCAGACCACAGCCCAGAUUUCCACCUGUCUUCCUGGGACUGGAACCUGUGCCCCAUAUGAAGGCGGGGGUGUCAGGGGAGGUGUGGGGGAAGCAGGGCAGUCCUGGGGGUGGAGAUGGGGGUUCCAGUGUGAUCUCUGGGUAGGGGCUGCCGGCAGAUCCUCAGCUCCAGUCCCUCGGGGAGCUCGGAUGUGGGAGGUGGGUCGUGUUUCAAGGGUGGGAUUGCUCGAGAAGGGGCGGGUGUACAGGAGGUGGGGGGCGUGGUCAAGGCUGAUGGGGAGGUUUUGGGAGAACCGGCCACGGAGCUGAAGGGGGCUGAAGGGGGCGGCCAGGUUAGGGGUGGCCCAGGAGGGUGAGGCAGGCCAAGCACGGGUAGGAAGUGCGGGUCCCAGGUGGGGACAGGACAGGAUUACGGGAGGAGGGGAGGAGCAAGUGGUGACGGGGAGAGACGUGAGCACCAAGGCAGGGCUGCUGACUUGAGGGCAGCGGGGAGCCCGGGUGGGCGGAGGGACGAAGCCGGGUAGGGGCGUUGUCACCGGGGCGAGCCGGGAGGCGGGCCACGCCUACUUGAGCUCCUGGGCCAGAGCGGCGAUGUGCUCCACGCGGUCCUGGUGCGCCGCCAGGUCGCUCUCAAAGGCCUCGUGGCGCCGCAGCAACGCCCGCACCUCCUGCAGCGAGGCCGACUCGUAGUCGCGCUGGCUCAGCAUGUCCUCCUUCCCUACUCAGAGAAAGGACCGGCUCGGGUCACCCAGCGGCGGCCACGGCGGGAGAGGGGGUUCGAGCGAGGCUGCGUGACCUUGGAGAUUCCUCCUCAUCUGUGAAAUGCAGGUGAUCACACCUGCCCGGCCUAUCGGCCUAUCGGCCUAUCGUAGGGGUUUGUUCUGCGGCGCUAGGGUGAUAAAGCGAAGUGAAGCUCCUGUUCCAGGGCAUGACCUGUAAAUCACGUCAGUGUCCCUGGAUCCUGCACGUUUCAGGGUGGCCCUUGGUACAGUUCGGGUAUUAUUGCAUAUCGAACUACCUCCCAACGACUAAUGAGCCCCUGACC
rnacentral:lncRNA from 1 species